AAUUCCGCCUUGUACAAAUUACUUUUAACAGUGUGUAAGUCCUAACAAAACAUGUACCAAGUCAUCCCCGUGAUCCCUCCAAAGUCAAGGCUUAAAAGUCAAGCUGUUGAGCAUUUCAGUGUUGACUAGUGGACAAAGUGUGACAAGCUACAGAGAAAAUCAACGCUAACAGGGAGGCACAUGCUGAGAGAAUGGCAUAACUUAGAGAGCCAAGGGACAUGUCUACAGCGCAAGGGAUCCUGAUUGUAGUAAUUAUUGUGAUUCCAUAGAUCAACAGAAACUUCAUCAUGCAUACCUUAACUGUAACACAAGCGUGCAUGCUUUCUGCUAUAGCUGCUAGUAACUGUAUUAGACAAGUAUAGUAAUGUGUUUCAGAUUAUAUGGGUUCAAUUCCCACAACUAACCUAUAGAGCUACACUUACCAACCAUGAUUUUUAAAGUUACAAUGCAGCAGUAUUGGCCUUAAUGCCAUAUUAUUAACUUACUCUAUAGUAUCGUUAAAGGUAUUUAUGGAAUAUGUGCACAUUCCAAGGAUUACUUGUAACAAUUCACAAUCCUUUUUGGGAGUGUGAAGGCUCUAUAGCAAGGAUAAUAAUAAAUGGCUAUUUAUUGCAGUAGAAAAUGAA